UGGGGAAUUUUGCACAAUGGGGGAAACCCUGAUGCAGCGACGCCGCGUGAUUUAGAAGGCCUUCGGGUUGUAAAAAUCUUUUCUAUGGGAAGAAAAUGACAGUACCAUAGGAAUAAGGACCGGCUAAUUACGUGCCAGCAGCCGCGGUAAUACGUAAGGUCCGAGCGUUGUCCGGAAUCAUUGGGCGUAAAGGGUACGUAGGCGGGUAAGCAAGUUAGAAGUGAAAUCCUAUAGCUCAACUAUAGUAAGCUUUUAAACUGCUCAUCUUGAGGUAUGGAAGGGAAAGUGGAAUUCCUAGUGUAGCGGUGAAAUGCGCAGAUAUUAGGAGGAAUACCGGUGGCGAAGGCGACUUUCUGGCCAUAACCUGACGCUGAGGUACGAAAGCGUGGGUAGCAAACAGG
rnacentral:rRNA from 1 species